CUACGGGAGGCAGCAGUAGGGAAUAUUGGACAAUGGGCGCAAGCCUGAUCCAGCCAUGCCGCGUGAGUGAAGAAGGCCUUCGGGUUGUAAAGCUCUUUUGUCCGGAAAGAAAAGCUUCGGGUCAAUACCCCGGAGUCCUGACGGUACCGGAAGAAUAAGCACCGGCUAACUUCGUGCCAGCAGCCGCGGUAAUACGAAGGGUGCAAGCGUUACUCGGAAUUACUGGGCGUAAAGCGUGCGUAGGUGGUUUGUUAAGUCUGAUGUGAAAGCCCUGGGCUCAACCUGGGAAUGGCAUUGGAUACUGGCAGGCUAGAGUGCGGUAGAGGGUAGUGGAAUUCCCGGUGUAGCAGUGAAAUGCGUAGAGAUCGGGAGGAACAUCUGUGGCGAAGGCGACUACCUGGACCAGCACUGACACUGAGGCACGAAAGCGUGGGGAGCAAACAGGAUUAGAUACCCUGGUAGUCCACGCCCUAAACGAUGCGAACUGGAUGUUGGGCUCAACUUGGAGCUCA
rnacentral:rRNA from 1 species